CGCUGAUAUUGUUCAAUAUAUCAUCGAGCACGGGGGAAAUGUCCACGCGGCCGACAAUUCGGGACAGACUGCGUUGCAUUGGGCGGCAGUGCGGGGAUCAAUUGCAGCUGCCGAUGUGUUGUUGCAGAAUGGUGCGCGGGUCGAGGCUGCUGAUGUUAAUGGUUAUCGGGCAAUUCAUGUUGCAUCUCAGUAUGGACAAACAGCUUUUGUAAAUCACAUUGUUGCGAAGUAUCAUGCGGACCUUAAUGUACCAGAUAAUGAUGGGAGGAGCCCUCUUCACUGGGCUGCAUACAAGGGAUUUGGUGAUACAAUCAGGUUACUUCUAUUCAGAGAUGCUUUCCAAGGGAGACAAGAUAAAGAUGGUUGCACUCCUUUGCAUUGGGCAGCAUUAAGAGGAAAUGCAGAGGCUUGCACUUUACUUGUACAUGCAGGCACAAAGGAGGAUUUAACAGUAAAAGAUAAUGCAGGACUUACUCCUGCAGAGCUUGCAUCUGAUAAAGGUCAUCUGCAAAUAGCACGUAUACUUUCUAAUGCCCAGCGGUCACAGAGAAAGCAGUGGAAAGACGAGACUUGCCCUGCUAAAAUGGGGCAUAAAGGCUAUGCUCCAAUUCUAUUCUCCGUUGUUGUUG
rnacentral:misc_RNA from 1 species